GGUGAAUGCUAGGGGUGUAGAUAAGGCAUGCAAGUCGAACGGGUUUAUAUCUUUAUAGAUAUAAACUACGUGGCAAACGGGGCAGUAAUACAUGUCUAACUUACCCUGAAGUUGAGAAUAACCUCCGAAAGGAGACUAAUUCUCAAUAGUUUCAUUCUUACAAAAGUAAGAAUGAAUAAAGGCGUAAGCCGCUUCAGGAAAGGGACAUGGCUGAUCAGCUAGUUGGUGAGGUAAUGGCUCACCAAGGCUAAGACCAGUAGGGGGCCUGAGAGGGUGUUCCCCGCCAUAGGCACUGAGACACGGGCCUAACUCCUACGGGAGGCAGCA
rnacentral:rRNA from 1 species